CGCAUCUGUGCAUGCAGCAUAUCAAUAAGCGGAGGAAAAGAAACUAACAAGGAUUCCCCUAGUAACGGCGAGUGAAGCGGGAAGAGCUCAAAUUUGAAAUCUUAAAGGGUUUCCCUUUACGAAUUGUAGUUUAAAGAAGUGUUUUCUGUUGAGGUUUUGGUAAAAGUUCUUUGGAAUAGGACAUCAUAGAGGGUGAGAAUCCCGUAUUUGACCUUUACUUUCAACUUUGUGAUACACUUUCAAAGAGUCGGAUUGUUUGGGAAUGCAGUCCAAAAUAGGUGGUAAAUUUCAUCUAAAGCUAAAUAUUAGGCGAGAGACCGAUAGCGAACAAGUACCGUGAGGGAAAGAUGAAAAGAACUUUGAAAAGAGAGUUAAACAGUACGUGAAAUUGUCAAAAGGGAAGCGUUUGACACCAGUGUUGUUUUUCUGAAAAUCAAUUAAAGAACUGUUUAUGCUAAGCUUGUUUAGACUUUAUCAGCUAACUGUUUAGUUUUGAGCUUUUCUUUAAUGCACUUUUCAGUUAACAAGUCAACAUCAAUUUCUUUUGCUGUAAAAAAGCUUGAGGAAGGUGGCUUGAGAUUCGUCUUAAGUGUUUAUAGCCUCUUGCCUAUGCAGUCGGAGAGAUUGAGGUCUGCAGCGUAGAUCCUUCGGGGCUAAAUGCAUUUGUGCUAAGUUAUAGCAUUUUAUAGACAGCUUGCUUGACUAUGAUUUGUCUUGUAGCUUACUCGCUUAUGUUAUUUUACCUACGCUUAGGAUGUUGAACGCGCACAGAGUCUC
rnacentral:rRNA from 1 species